rnacentral:rRNA from 1 species
AGAGUUUGAUCCUGGCUCAGAUUGAACGCUGGCGGCAUGCUUAAUACAUGCAAGUCGAACGGUAACAGGUCUUUCGGGAUGCUGACGAGUGGCGGACGGGUGAGUAAUACAUAGGAAUCUACCUAGUAGUGGGGGACAACCUGGGGAAACUCAGGCUAAUACCGCAUAAUUCCUAAUGGGGAAAGAGGGCAUCUGCUUGCAAGCUCUCGCUAUUAGAUGAGCCUAUGUCGGAUUAGCUUGUUGGUGAGGUAAUGGCUCACCAAGGCGACGAUCUGUAGCUGGUCUGAGAGGGCGAUCAGCCACACUGGGACUGAGACACGGCCCAGACUCCUACGGGAGGCAGCAGUAGGGAAUUUUGGACAAUGGGCGAAAGCCUGAUCCAGCAAUGCCGCGUGUGUGAAGAAGGCCUGCGGGUUGUAAAGCACUUUCAGUUGGGAAGAAAAGUUUUAGAUUAAUACUCUAAAAUUUUGACGUUACCAAGAGAAGAAGCACCGGCUAACUCUGUGCCAGCAGCCGCGGUAAU